rnacentral:rRNA from 1 species
AGUGAACGCUGGCGGUAGGCCUAACACAUGCAAGUCGAACGGCAGCACAGUAUGAGCUUGCUCUUACGGGAGGCGCGUAGCGGACGGGUGAGGAAUACAUCGGAAUCUACUUUUUCGUGGGGGAUAACGUAGGGAAACUUACGCUAAUACCGCAUACGACCUACGGGUGAAAGCAGGGGAUCUUCGGACCUUGCGCGAUUGAAUGAGUCGAUGUCGGCUUAGCUAGUUGGCGGGGUAAAGGCCCACCAAGGCGGCGAUCCGUAGCUGGUCUGAGGGGAUGAUCAGCCACCCUAGAGCGAAGACACGGUCCAGACUCCUACGGGAGGCGGCAGUGGGGAAUAUUGGACAAUGGUCGCAAGCCUGAUCCAGCCAUACCGCGUGGGUGAAGAAGGCCUUCGGGGUGUAAAGCCCUUUUGUUGGGAAAGAAAAGCAGCAUGUUAAUACCCCGCUGUUCUGACGGUACCCAAAUAAGAAGCACCGGCUAACUUCGUG